rnacentral:rRNA from 1 species
UGGGGAAUAUUGCACAAUGGGCGCAAGCCUGAUGCAGCCAUGCCGCGUGUGUGAAGAAGGCCUUCGGGUUGUAAAGCACUUUCAGCGAGGAGGAAGGUGGUGAGCUUAAUACGCUCAUCAAUUGACGUUACUCGCAGAAGAAGCACCGGCUAACUCCGUGCCAGCAGCCGCGGUAAUACGGAGGGUGCAAGCGUUAAUCGGAAUUACUGGGCGUAAAGCGCACGCAGGCGGUUUGUUAAGUCAGAUGUGAAAUCCCCGGGCUCAACCUGGGAACUGCAUUUGAAACUGGCAAGCUAGAGUCUCGUAGAGGGGGGUAGAAUUCCAGGUGUAGCGGUGAAAUGCGUAGAGAUCUGGAGGAAUACCGGUGGCGAAGGCGGCCCCCCUGGACGAAGACUGACGCUCAGGUGCGAAAAGCGUGGGGGCAGCAAACAGGAUUAGAUACCCUGGUAGUCCACGCUGU